rnacentral:rRNA from 1 species
UACGGGGGGUGCAAGCGUUGUUCGGAAUUACUGGGCGUAAAGGGCUCGUAGGCGGCCAACUAAGUCAGACGUGAAAUCCCUCGGCUUAACCGGGGAACUGCGUCUGAUACUGGUUGGCUUGAGUGUGGGAGAGGGAUGCGGAAUUCCAGGUGUAGCGGUGAAAUGCGUAGAUAUCAGGAGGAACACCGGUGGCGAAGGCGGUUCUCUGGGCAUUACCUGACGCUGAGGAGCGAAAGUGUGGGGAGCGAACAGG